UAACUGAAGAGUUUGAUCAUGGCUCAGAUUGAACGCUGGCGGCAGGCCUAACACAUGCAAGUCGAGCGGAAACGAUGGUAGCUUGCUACCAGGCGUCGAGCGGCGGACGGGUGAGUAACGCGUGAGAAUCUGCCCAUUUGUGGGGGAUAACUCGGGGAAACUCGAGCUAAUACCGCAUAAUCCCUACGGGGGAAAGCAGGGGACCUUCGGGCCUUGUGCAGAUGGAUGAGCUCGCGUCGGAUUAGCUUGUUGGUGAGGUAAAGGCUCACCAAGGCGACGAUCCGUAGCUGGUCUGAGAGGAUGAUCAGC
rnacentral:rRNA from 1 species